AGUCGAGCGCGAAAGUCCUUCGGGAUGAGUAGAGCGGCGCACGGGUGAGUAACACGUGGGUAAUCUGCCCUCGGGUCUGGAAUAACUAAGGGAAACUUUAGCUAAUGCCGGAUAAGACCCCGCAACGAGAGUUGCGAGGGAAAAGCAGGGGAUCUCUUCGGAGACCUUGCGCCGGAGAAUGAGCCCGCGGCCCAUCAGCUAGUUGGCGGGGUAAUGGCCCACCAAGGCUAAGACGGGUAGCUGGUCUGAGAGGAUGACCAGCCACACUGGAACUGAGACACGGUCCAGACUCCUACGGGAGGCAGCAGUGGGGAAUAUUGCGCAAUGGGGGAAACCCUGACGCAGCAACGCCGCGUGAGUGAUGAAGGCCUUCGGGUCGUAAAGCUCUGUCGGCAGGAACGAUGGUUUGAUGACCUAAUACGUCAUCAGAUUGACGGUACCUGCAAAGGGAGCACCGGCUAACUCUGUGCCAGCAGCCGCGGUAAGACAGAGGGUGCAAGCGUUGUUCGGAAUUAUUGGGCGUAAAGGGCGCGUAGGCGGCCCAUCAAGUCAGAUGUGAAAGCCCAGGGCUCAACCUUGGAAGUGCAUCUGAAACUGAUGAGCUAGAGUUCACGGAGAGGGUGGUGGAAUUCCCAGUGUAGAGGUGAAAUUCGUAGAUAUUGGGAGGAACACCGGUGGCGAAGGCGACCACCUGGACGGAAACUGACGCUGAGGCGCGAAAGCGUGGGUAGCAAACAGGAUUAGAUACCCUGGUAGUCCACGCCGUAAACGAUGAGUAUUAGGUAUUGCGGGUAUUGACCCCUGCAGUGCCGUCGCUAACGCAUUAAAUACUCCGCCUGGGAAGUACGGCCGCAAGGCUAAAACUCAAAGGAAUUGAC
rnacentral:rRNA from 1 species